CCUACGGGGGGCAGCAGUGGGGAAUAUUGGACAAUGGGCGCAAGCCUGAUCCAGCAAUGCCGCGUGUGUGAAGAAGGCCUGCGGGUUGUAAAGCACUUUAAGCAGGAAAGAAGGGCGGAGCGAUAAUACCGUUUCGCAUUGACGUUACCUGCAGAAUAAGCACCGGCUAACUCCGUGCCAGCAGCCGCGGUAAUACGGAGGGUGCUAGUGUUAAUCGGGAUUGCGUGGCGUAAAUCGCGCGUAGGCCGUGAAAGCCCUGGGCUUAACCUGGGAACUGCGGUGGAUACUGUCGGGCUAGAGUGUGGUAGAGGGGAGUGGAAUUUCCGGUGUAGCAGUGAAAUGCGUAGAGAUCGGAAGGAACACCAGUGGCGAAGGCGGCUCCCUGGACCAACACUGACGCUGAGGUGCGAAAGCGUGGGGAGCAAACAGGAUUAGAUACCCCAGUAGUC
rnacentral:rRNA from 1 species